GGAAACCCUGGUUUCUGACGAAAAAGAGGGCGCCCGUAAGGGGCUCUCACCACGAGAUGAGUCCGCGGCCCAUCAGCUAGUUGGCGGUGUAAUAGACCACCAAGGCUAAGACGGGUAGCUGGUCUGAGAGGAUGACCAGCCACACUGGGACUGAGACACGGCCCAGACUCCUACGGGAGGCAGCAGUGGGGAAUAUUGGACAAUGGGCGAAAAGCCUGAUCCAGCCAUGCCGCGUGAGUGAUGAAGGUCUUCGGAUCGUAAAGCUCUGUGGGAAGGGACGAAAAAGCCUAACCUAAUACGUUAGGUCUUGACGGUACCUUCUUAGCAAGCACCGGCUAACUCCGUGCCAGCAGCCGCGGUAAUACGGAGGGUGCAAACGUUGCUCGGAAUUAUUGGGCGUAAAAGCGCACGUAGGCGGUCCGCUAAGUCGGAUGUGAAAGCCCUCGGCUUAACCGAGGAAGUGCAUCCGAAACUGACGGGCUAGAGUACGGAAGAGGGUUUCGGAAUUCCCGGUGUAGAGGUGAAAUUCGUAGAUAUCGGGA
rnacentral:rRNA from 1 species